GUUACAAGUACUAAAGGUUACUCAUAUCCUUUUAAUAUAGCACAUAUUUCUUGCUUCUAACAAUUGGCACUUAUACAACAUGGUCUACAAGUAGAGGAUCUGUUGGUACAAAGCCUGUGUCUAAUAGUAAACAUUAGAGUUCUUCAAUUGAUAUGCAUUAAUGAAACAUAAAUGAUAUUUAUUUUAGCAGUUGGAGCUAGCAGGACUAGCCUGACUGUUGAUCCAGGAGGCACUAGAGAAAAAGAAGUUGGUUGUACUUAUGGUAACUAGUCAAUUGAUGAAAGUAUACCGUAUGGUUGGUAAUUUUUGUAGAGUAUUAAUUUUCGUUCAUUUUGCCAUUCAUUUUUAUCCACCGAAUUUUAACCUCUACCACCUGCACACAAGAUAACUAAUUAACAAACCAUAUAGAGCGCUAUAACUACUAUUUUCAAGCCAGUGGAGGAGCCAAAGUCUUUGUCUAUUACUCUAUAUUUUACUACAGUCAUGUAUUGGAAGCUAGUGCUGUAUAUAGAUCAAAGUGAAAAGGAGUUUGCUAACUGCUAGCCCUGAAUAUUUGUACCGACAAAUAUUAGCAUUUAAGGAAAUUUUUGAGAAAAUGCCAAAAUAUUAGAUCCACAAAUGUUACCAACCAUACAGUAUCUGUUACCUUGUAAAAAUAAUUUGAGUAGCAGUAAAUAUUAUUUAUUUUAUUUUGUAAAGUAUUUUAAACAGUUGCAGCUAAAGGAAGAGAAAGUCUGUAUCUGAUAAUAAAGUUGGAGCUAUUACAACCCGAGGUAGAGGAAGAGGAGCUGUUGGUAGUUUACAUGUAUUUCUGAAAAUGAAGAUGAAGCAACUCCAACUAGUCAAAGAGGAACUGUGAGUAAAGUGGGAGAUUUAGCUGUGUCUAGAGGGAGAGGAACUGAGAUAUUUCAG